GAAGUUUAGAUAAACCUAAAUGCAAUAGGAAGAUAUAAAAUAGGAAUUAAUCUAAUCCUAGAUAGAAUAGGAAAAUUAAAUAAAUAAUCCCUAGUUCUGAACUAAUUCCUCAGCUGUAGGUAGUCAAAACAGGAAGUCCCAGUCAAACUAGGACUGCUGGAACUGAAAUUAUCAAAAAAAAAAAAACAUAUUGGACAGAAAACCACACUUCCUGGGCAUGUGGCAG
rnacentral:misc_RNA from 1 species